AUCGAUCCGAUCGGUGCAUGGAUCGGUCCCGGUCGAGCGGGAUCAAUCCCUGCACCAUGCGGAUCGAUCAUGGAUCGAUCGAGGCCGACCGACCAUGGUCCGAUUGCAACUUCACCGAUCAUUUCUUUUCCGAUUGAAUCCAUUCUUCUUCCUAAAUUUUGUUUGUGUCAUAAAAUAGCCUCCCCAAUGGUUUUCCCACGUCCCAAUUAUUAUUUUUCUAAUUUUCCGGAUUUUCUCAAUUUUUUAAAUACCAAAAUAUAUAUAUUUCCGGUUGUCAAAAAAAAAUUUCUAACUUUUCCAUAAUUUCGAUCACAUUUUUCUGAGCAUCUAUGCAAAAAAUCUCAUCAAAAUUCAUUUUCUACAAUUUUUUAGAGGGGUGGUGCCUACUCAAACAUGGUGAAUGUCUACUCCUACUGGGGGCAAAAAUGCUCCUAAGGCUCUUUAGGGGGGGUAGUGGUGCUCAGAGGCCACGAGCAGUUUUCGGGCAAUCGUUGCGCGAUGCAUGAGUCAUGUCAGGGGCACAGAAAUGAGUCGAGAAUGAGUCAUAAUAAAGUUCAAUGAUCCCCGAAAUAGGUUCAGGCCGAUCGAAAAAAGCGCCCCUAGACAAAGAUGGAUGCAUCGCGUGGCUCCCCUCAAGUAGGCAUCAUGCCCGAGCGCAUGGGUCGUUUUCGAGCCAAGCGGCCAUAAAGGAUGAAUCAAUGACUAAGUUACUUGGGAAUUGACGAAUCUAUGAGUCCCUUCGGUAAGACAAGAUCAUGCCUCGGGCAUGAAUGAACGAGCCAUGCACUGUAUCGAUCCACGACCUGAACAAGACAUUGGUGUUCUCGCGUCUAGGGUGGCAAACCUGUAAGGCUUAAGGAAUCUGAUUGGUGGGAUCCCUUUUGGGUGCACCGCCAACCGACCUUGAUCUUCUGAGAAGGGUUCAAGUGAGAGCAUGCCUGUCAAGACCCAAAAGAUGGUGAACUAUGCCUGAGCGGGGCAAAGCUAGAGGAAACUCUGGUGGAGGCCCGCAGCGAUAUUGACGUGCAAAUCGUUCGUCUGACUUUGGUAUAGGGGCAAAAGACUAAUCGAACCGUCUAGUAGCUGGUUCCCUCCGAAGUUUUCCUCAGGAUAGCUCGAUCUCAAGAACGAGUUCUAUCGAGUAAAGCCAAUGAUUAGAGGCAUCGGGGGCGUCUGAUAGCGCCUCGUGCGCGAGCUUCGAAAGGGAAUCGGGUUAAAAUUCCUGAACCAGGACGUGGCGGCUGACGGCAACGUUAGGGAGUCCGGAGACGUCAGCGGGGGCCUCGGGAAGAGUUAUCUUUUCUGUUUAACAGCCUGCCCACCUUGGAAACGGCUCAGCCGGAGGUAGGGUCCAGCGGCUGGAAGAGCACCGCACGUCGCGUGGUCUCCGGUGCGCCCCCGGCGGCCCUUGAAAAUCUAGAGGACCGAGUGCCGUCCAUGCCCAGUCGUACUCAUAACCACAUCAAGUCUCCAAGGUGAACAGCCUCUGGUCAAUGGAACAAUGUAGGCAAGGGAAGUUGGCAAAAUGGAUCCGUAACCUCGGGAAAAGGAUUGGCUCUGAGGACUGGGCACGGGGGUCCUAAUCCCGAACCUGUCGGCUGUCAGUGGACUGCUCGAGCUGCUCUCGCGGCAAGAGCGGGUCGCCGCGUGCCGGCCGAGGGACGGAUUAGGAACAGCUCCUUCGGGGGCCUUCCUCGAGCGUCGAACAAUCAACUCAGAAUCGGUACGGACAAGGGGAAUCCGAUUGUUUAAUUGAAACAAAGCAUUGCGAUGGUCCCUGUGGAUGCUCACGCAAUGUGAUUUCUACCCAGUGCUCUGAAUGUCAAAGUGAAGAAAUUCAACCGAGCGCGGGUAAAUGGCGGGAGUAACUAUGACUCUCUUAAGGUAGCCAAACGCCUCGUCAUCUAAUUAGUGACGCGCAUGAAUGGAUUAACGAGAUUCCCACUGUCCCUAUCUACUAUCCAGCAAAACCACAGCCAAGGGAACGGGCUUGGCAGAAUCAGCGGGGAAAGAAGACCCUGUUGAGCUUGACUCUAGUCCGACUUUGUGAAAUGACUUGAGAGGUGUAGGAUAAAUGGGAGCCGGAAACGGUGAAAGUGAAAUACCACUACUUUUAACGUUAUUUUACUUAUUCCGUGAAACGGAGGCGGGGCAAUGCCCCUUCUUUUAGAACUAAGGUCCGCACAUGCGGGCCGAUCCGAGCAGAAGACAUUGUCAAGUGGGGAGUUUGGCUGGGGUGGCACAUCUGUUAAAAGAUAACGCAGGUGUCCUAAGAUGAGCUCAUCGAGAACAGAAAUCUCGUGUAGAACAAAAGGGUAAAAGCUCGUUUGAUUCUAAUUUCUAGUACAAAUACGAACUGUGAAAGCGUGGCCUAUCGAUCCUUUAGAUCUUCGGAAUUUAAAGCUAGAGGUGUCAGAAAAGUUACCACAAGGAUAACUGGCUUGUGGCAGCCAAGCGUUCAUAGCGACAUUACUUUUUGAUCCUUCGAUGUCGGCUCUUCCUAUCAUUGUGAAGCAGAAUUCACCAAGUGUUGGAUUGUUCACUCACCAAUAGGGAAUGUGAGCUGGGUUUAGACCGUCGUGAGACAGGUUAGUUUUACCCUACUGAUGAUAGUGUCACAAUAGUAAUUCAACCUAGUACGAGAGGAAUCGUUGAUUCGCACAAUUAGUCAUCGCACUUGGUUGAAAAGCCAGUGGCGCGAAGCUACCGUGCGCUGGAUUAUGAUUAAACGCCUCUAAGUCAGAAUUCGGGCUAGAAGUGAUGCAUAAGCUCGCCGCUCGAUUGCCGACCUGCAAUUGGGGACUUGUUCCCCCAAGGGCACGUGUCGUUGGUGAAUCUCUCGCGGUGGAUGAACCGCAUGGGCCGCCUUGAAGCACAAUUCCUAUUAAGCGAUGAGUACUGGUAGCAGCAACUAUGACGGCGGCGAUAGUGGCGGUGGCUUGAUUAUGGGCCUACUACCUC
rnacentral:rRNA from 1 species